rnacentral:tRNA from 1 species
AAGUUUAGGUUACAUCAAACCAAGAGCCUUCAAAGCUCCUAACAGGGACAAUACCCCUAACUUUUG